AGGAUGAACGCUGGCGGCGUGCCUAACACAUGCAAGUCGAACGUCCUGUCUCGCAAGAGGCAGGGAGUGGCGGACGGGUGAGUACCACGUGGGUUAUCUACCGUGAGGUGAGGAAUACCGGCGAGAAAUCGCCGACAAGACCGCAUAGCCUCGGUGCAAGCCGAGGAAAGCUUUCUCGAGAGAGGGAGCGCCACACGAGGAGCCUGCGCCCGAUUAGCUAGCUGGUGGAGUAACGGUUCACCAGGGCGACGAUCGGUAGCUGGUCUGAGAGGACGAUCAGCCACACUGGGAUUGAGAACGGCCCAGACUCCUACGGGGGGCAGCAGUGAGGAAUUUUCGUCAAUGGGGGCAACCCUGAACGAGCAACGCCGCGUGCAGGAAGAAGGUUUUCGGAUCGUAAACUGCUUUUCUCGGGGAAGAGAAUGGACGGUACCCGAGGAAUCAGCCCCGGCUAACUACGUGCCAGCAGCCGCGGUAA
rnacentral:rRNA from 1 species